rnacentral:rRNA from 1 species
GUAGGCGGCAAGCGUUGUCCGGAAUUAUUGGGCGUAAAUCGCGCGCAGGCGGUUUUUUAAGUCUGAUGUGAAAGCCCACGGCUCAACCGUGGAGGGUCAUUGGAAACUGGAGAACUUGAGUACAGAAGAGGAAAGCGGAAUUCCACGUGUAGCGGUGAAAUGCGUAGAGAUGUGGAGGAACACCAGUGGCGAAGGCGGCUUUCUGGUCUGUAACUGACGCUGAGGCGCGAAAGCGUGGGGAGCAAACAGGGAUUAGAUACCCUGGUAGUCCACGCCGUAAACGAUGAGUGCUAAGUGUUAGGGGGUUUCCCGCCCCUUAGUGCUGCAGCUAACGCAUUAAGCACUCCGCCUGGGGAGUACGGCCGCAAGGCUG